GGGCCUUUAGCUUAGUCUGGCUCAAAGCCCUCCGCUCAUAACGGAGUGAUCGCCGGUUCAAAUCCGGCAAGGCCCA
rfam:Halorubrum sp. AJ67, WGS project CBVY01000000 data, contig: SCAFFOLD00016